UACAGGGGUCUCAAGCGUUAAUCGGAAUUACUGGGCGUAAAGCGUGCGCAGGCGGUUAUGCAAGACAGAUGUGAAAUCCCCGGGCUCAACCUGGGAACUGCAUUUGUGACUGCAUGGCUAGAGUACGGUAGAGGGGGAUGGAAUUCCGCGUGUAGCAGUGAAAUGCGUAGAUAUGCGGAGGAACACCGAUGGCGAAGGCAAUCCCCUGGACCUGUACUGACGCUCAUGCACGAAAGCGUGGGGAGCAAACAGG
rnacentral:rRNA from 1 species